CCAGCCAUCUAGGUUAGAUGAUUUGACGGUUAAGAAGUGGGUUAUUAUUAUUAUAUAACUGUUCGAAGGUGCUACCCCCAUAUCGUCUCUCUCCCUCCCCUAUAUCUAAGAGAUGAAAUCCAAACCUUAUCCCGCUGCCCCUUUUCUCUACCGCGUUAAGGUGGCGGCGCCACUCCCUUUCCCCACCAAAUUAACACUCUUGAACCUCCUUCUCCCCUUCAUUCCAAAACUCUACUCCACUUCCUUUGAAUCCUCUUGAAUCCUCAAGAAUCUGGUUUUGAAAGGAAAAAACCUAAAUCCCAAAGUCCGAAUCAACGGGCUUGUUGAAGAUUUUGAACUGUAAUGGACUUUAUUCGUGUGUUUCCACAAGAAAACACAAGAUUAAGGGAUAUUCUCGUCAAGAAAUUGAAGAAGUCCUUAAAGGUUGGUCGAGUUUGCUUCUAGUCGGUUAUGGGUAUUUUUUUGUGUUUUUGUUUAUUUAUUUAUCUUUUUUUCUAUGUUUCUACUCCAUCUUCACACUCUUCCUCUCAUCUUUUUCGUUCUUUGUUAUUGUUCAUUUGUUGGAGCAAUUUCUAUUUGCAUGAUUAAAGUGAAAGCAUGUUAGUUGCAUUUGUUUAAUUCUCAUGUUAGUGUUAAGUAUUUCUUUUCUGUGUGUUUCUGAUUGCAGUUCGUAACUGGUUUGGUUUGUGAAUUUUGGGGUGGGUUCAUUGUUAUUACUGAAAUGUGUUGGGUUCUUAUUAAAAUUGAAAACCCAAAAGAAAAGGGAAGUCAGUCCGGAUUUGGGGCUGAAUCGUGGGUCAACUUAACCCAUGUGAUAUAAUGCCAAAAAAAAUAAAUAAACAGGGCACUAAGGGAUACUAUAGGUUAUUAGGUGAGGAAAUCUCUCAAAUAACUGUGUAGGAAGCUUCCUAGAAGCUGAAAAUAGCCUUACUUGGCAAACAAGUCAAAAAUUUGAGAAUUAAGUAGUAAAAAAUAAAAUUGAAAAGGGGACAGAAUGCAAAAUUAAAUUCCUAAAGGCUGCCCUAUUGAAUUGUCUAUAAAGACAUCUUAUUAUUACCUUUCAAGAGAGAAAAUUAGAGAUACAAAAAUCAGAAAAAUAAGACGACUGAAUUGUUUUUUGAAAAAUACUGUUUCAUUGAACUAUUUUGGUGAUUUAUGAAGUUUUCUAAUGCUGAAGCAUCUUUUGGUUAGCUGGGAUCUAAAUGGUUUGAGAUCGAGUCUGGUUUGAAGUUUUGCUGGGUUUUUGUUUGAUUGAAACUGGCUUCUAGACCGUUUGAACAAUAUUUUCUUGGUUUAAAUUGGUGCUGAUUACCCCUUGUUACUGGAUUCUGUUGCUGUUGUUGUCUAUUGCUUUUGCUCCUCAUCUCUUUUUUCGUUUUUACAAAUUUCAGGUACACAUUCCUGAAGCUCACACAAUGUGAUAUUCAAUUGGAGAAUGAGAAAUGAAAACUGAAUUUUUUUUGAUGUUUAAAUAUUAGACCAUUAGUUCAUAGUUAGUUUUAUUUUUAUUUUUCUUUAUCUUGCUCUUCUUAAAUAACCUGUGUUCAAUUGAGGGGUUUGGAUAUGAUUUUGUUGAAGCAAAAUGAUUUAAAACCCGCUAAACCCUUUGUUAGAGUGUGUAAAGUGAGUCAGUACUUAAAUUUUACUUUUUAUUAUGUAAUUUAAGUGACAAGGGACUAUAUCGAAGCUAUCUUUAUUUGGUUAGUUUUCUUUUUCUUUUCUUUAUGAAGCAAUUCUGGACAUGAGUUACUAGUAAUAUUCAACACUUUGGGGUGUGUUAAUUACUGGAUAGUGCUGAUAUUUGGUGAGGCAUGUUUAUUAUUAAUCGUGGUUGAUUUGCAACAACUUAGACUCGAUGUUGGAGCUGGAGUCUUUUUUAGCUUUGCUCAUUUAAAGUUUUGAGCCCUUUAAGCUUGGGAUGAUGGGGUCCUUUGUGAAAAAGUGAUUUCUUGUUAAACAAAGUCUUCCUUCUCGAGCACUUGGCUAAAUGCAUGCUGAAAUAACAAUAGACUUUCAAUUAGGCAAGUUGUAUUAAUAGGUUAAUGUUUAGGAUUAAUUGUUAAUUUAACUUCGCAUGUACUUAUAUUCUAAGCCAGUUAAUGUUGUCUUGUGAGUUGAACAAUAAUGCAUU
rnacentral:lncRNA from 1 species